GUUGAGCGGAGAUAUAUGGAGCUUGCUUUAUAUAACUUAGCAGCGAACGGGUGAGUAACACGUAGAUAAUCUAUCCUAUACUGGGGGACAGCCCGAUGAAAGUUGGAUUAAUACCGCAUAUAGCUAUAUAGUUGCAUGAUUAUGUAGUGAAAGAUUUAUUGGUAUAGGAGGAGUCUGCGGCACAUUAGCUAGUAGGUGAGGUAAAGGCUUACCUAGGCGACGAUGUGUAGCCGGUCUGAGAGGAUGAACGGCCACAAUGGAACUGAGACACGGUCCAUACUCCUACGGGAGGCAGCAGUGGGGAAUAUUGCACAAUGGGGGAAACCCUGAUGCAGCAACGCCGCGUGAGUGAAGAAGGUUUUCGGAUUGUAAAGCUCUGUUAGCAGGGAAGAGGAAGGACGGUACCUGCAGAGGAAGCCACGGCUAACUACGUGCCAGCAGCCGCGGUAAUACGUAGGUGGCAAGCGUUGUUCGGAAUAACUGGGCGUAAAGGAUGCGUAGGCGGUUAAACAAGUUAUAUGUUAAAUAUAUAGGCUUAACCUGUAGAAAGCAUAUAAAACUGUUUAACUAGAGUGCAGGAGAGGUAAGUGGAAUUCCUAGUGUAGCGGUGAAAUGCGUAGAGAUUAGGAAGAACACCAGUGGCGAAGGCGACUUACUGGACUGUAACUGACGCUGAGGCAUGAGAGCAUGGGGAGCAAACAGGAUUAGAUACCCUGGUAGUCCAUGCUGUAAACGAUGGGUACUAAGUGUGGGUUGUGAAUAACAA
rnacentral:rRNA from 1 species